rnacentral:rRNA from 1 species
UACGAAGGGGGCUAGCGUUGCUCGGAAUCACUGGGCGUAAAGGGUGCGUAGGCGGGUUUUAAGUUCAGGGGUGAAAUCCUGGAGCUCAACUCCAGAACUGCCUUUGAUACUGAAGAUCUUGAGUCCGGGAGAGGGGGGUGGAAUUCCCAGUGUAGCGGUGAAAUGCGUAGAUAUUGGGAGGAACACCGGUGGCGAAGGCGGCCCCCUGGACCGGUACUGGCACGCUGAGGCGACGAAAGCGGUGGGAUACGCAAGGGG